rnacentral:rRNA from 1 species
UACGUAGGGACCAAGCGUUGUCCGGAAUCAUUGGGCGUAAAGCGCGCGUAGGUGGCCAUUUAAGUCCGCUGUGAAAGUCAGAGGCUCAACCUUUGAAAGCCGGUGGAUACUGGAUGGCUAGAGUACGGAAGAGGCGAGUGGAAUUCCUGGUGUAGCGGUGGAAAUGCGCAGAUAUCAGGAGGAACACCGGUGGCGAAGGCGGGUCUCUGGGCCGUAACUGACGCUGAGGAGCGAAAGCAUGGGGAGCGAACAGG